CGGGAACGUCUGACACAGGUGCUGCAUGGCUGUCGUCAGCUCGUGUCGUGAGGAUGUUGGGUUAAGUCCCGUAACGACGCGCAACCCUUGUCCUUAGUUACCAGCACGUUAUGGUGGGCACUCUAAGGAGACUGCCGGUGACAAACCGGAGGAAGUGGGGGAUGACGUCAAGUCAUCAUGGCCCUUACGGCCUGGGCUACACACGUGCUACAAUGGUCGGUACAAAGGGUUGCCAAGCCGCGAGGUGGAGCUAAUCCCAUAAAACCGAAUCGUAGUCCGGAUCGCAGUCUGCAACUCGACUGCGUGAAGUCGGAAUCGCUAGUAAUCGUGAAUCAGAAUGUCACGGUGAAUACGUUCCCGGGCCUU
rnacentral:rRNA from 1 species